rnacentral:tRNA from 1 species
GGCUCGGUAGCUUAGUUGGAUAAGCACUCGUCUUGCAUACAAGAGUCCUGGGUUCGAAUCCCAGCCGAGCAC